AGAACGAACGCUGGCGGCAUGCCUAACACAUGCAAGUCGAACGCGUGUAGCGAUACACGAGUGGCGGACGGGUGAGUAACACGUGGGAACGUCCCCCUCGGUUCGGAAUAACUCAGGGAAACUUGAGCUAAUACCGGAUACGUCCGAGAGGAGAAAGAUUUAUCGCCGAGGGAUCGGCCCGCGUCUGAUUAGCUAGUUGGUAGGGUAACGGCCUACCAAGGCGACGAUCAGUAGCUGGUCUGAGAGGAUGACCAGCCACACUGGGACUGAGACACGGCCCAGACUCCUACGGGAGGCAGCAGUGGGGAAUCUUGGACAAUGGGCGCAAGCCUGAUCCAGCCAUGCCGCGUGAGUGAUGAAGGCCUUAGGGUUGUAAAGCUCUUUCGACGAGGACGAUAAUGACGGUACCCGUAGAAGAAGCCCCGGCUAACUUCGUGCCAGCAGCCGC
rnacentral:rRNA from 1 species